rnacentral:rRNA from 1 species
AUUUAAAGUGGUACGCGAGCUGGGUUUAGAACGUCGUGAGACAGUUCGGUCCCUAUCUGCCGUGGGCGCUGGAGAACUGAGGGGGGCUGCUCCUAGUACGAGAGGACCGGAGUGGACGCAUCACUGGUGUUCGGGUUGUCAUGCCAAUGGCACUGCCCGGUAGCUAAAUGCGGAAGAGAUAAGUGCUGAAAGCAUCUAAGCACGAAACUUGCCCCGAGAUGAGUUCUCCCUGACUCCUUGAGAGUCCUGAAGGAACGUUGAAGACGACGACGUUGAUAGGCCGGGUGUGUAAGCGCAGCGAUGCGUUGAGCUAACCGGUACUAAUGAACCGU